rnacentral:rRNA from 1 species
AGUGAACGCUCGCGGUAGGCCUAACACAUGCAAGUCGAACGGCAGCACAGUAAGAGCUUGCUCUUACGGGUGGCGAGUGGCGGACGGGUGAGGAAUACAUCGGAAUCUACUUUUUCGUGGGGGAUAACGUAGGGAAACUUACGCUAAUACCGCAUACGACCUACGGGUGAAAGCAGGGGAUCUUCGGACCUUGCGCGAUUGAAUGAGCCGAUGUCGGAUUAGCUAGUUGGCGGGGUAAAGGCCCACCAAGGCGACGAUCCGUAGCUGGUCUGAGAGGAUGAUGAGCCACACGGGAACUGAGACACGGUCCAGACUCCGACGGGAGGCAGCAGUGGGGAAUAUUGGACAAAGGGCGCAAGCCUGAUCCAGACAUACCGCGUGGGUGAAGAAGGCCUUCGGGUUGUAAAGCCCUUUUGUUGGGAAAGAAAAGCAGCAGGUUAAUACCCCGCUGUUCUGACGGUACCCAAAGAAUAAGCACCGGCUAACUUCGUG